GGGAACGGCCAUAGCUCAGUUGUGGAGCAUCUGAUUUGCAUGCAGAAGGUCCCUUGUUCAAUCCAUGACGUCUUCA